rnacentral:rRNA from 1 species
UACGUAGGGAGCAAGCGUUGUCCGGAAUCAUUGGGCGUAAAGCGCGCGUAGGUGGCUCCAUAAGUCCGUUGUGAAAGUCAAAGGCUCAACCUUUGAAAGCCGAUGGAUACUGUGGAGCUAGAGUACGGAAGAGGCGAGUGGAAUUCCUGGUGUAGCGGUGGAAUGCGCAGAUAUCAGGAGGAACACCAAUAGCGAAGGCAGCUCGCUGGGACGUUACUGAGCUGAUGCGCGAAAGCGUGGGGAGCAAACAGG